rnacentral:rRNA from 1 species
CGAGUGAAGCGGCAAAAGCUCAAAUUUGAAAUCUAGCACCUUCGGUGUUCGAGUUGUAAUUUGAAGAAGGUAACCUUGGGAUUGGCUCUUGUCUAUGUUUCUUGGAACAGAACGUCACAGAGGGUGAGAAUCCCGUGCGAUGAGAUGACCAAUUCUAUGUAAGGUGCUUUCGAAGAGUCGAGUUGUUUGGGAAUGCAGCUCUAAGUGGGUGGUAAAUUCCAUCUAAAGCUAAAUAUUGGCGAGAGACCGAUAGCGAACAAGUACAGUGAUGGAAAGAUGAAAAGAACUUUGAAAAGAGAGUGAAAAAGUACGUGAAAUUGUUGAAAGGGAAGGAUAUGAGAUCAGACUUGGUGUUUUGCAACCUUAUCUUUGGAUGGGGCCCCUGCAGUUCAUCGGGCCAGCAUCAGUUUGGAUGGUAGGAUAAUGACAUUGGAAUGUGACUUGGCUUCGGUUAAGUGUUAUAGCCCUUGUUGAUACUGCCUGUCUAGACUGAGGACUGCGUCUUUGACUAGGAUGCUGGCAUAAUGAUCCUAUAUCGCCCGUCUUGAAAACACGGACCA